rnacentral:rRNA from 1 species
AGUCUUUGUAGUAAUACAAGGCAGACGGCUCAGUAACACGUAGUCAACCUACCCUAUGGACGAGAAUAAUCUCGGGAAACUGAGCAUAAUUCUUGAUAGAUCAUAAUGCCUGGAAUGGUUUAUGGUUAAAAUGAUUCGUCGCCAUAGGAUGGGACUGCGGCCUAUCAGCUUGUUGGUGAGGUAAUGGCCCACCAAGGCGAUUACAGGUACGGGCUCUGAGAGGAGAAGCCCGGAGAUGGGUACUGAGACACGGACCCAGGCCCUAUGGGGCGCAGCAGGCGAGAAAACUUUGCAAUGUGCGAAAGCACGACAAGGUUAAUCCGAGUGAUUUCUGCUAAAGAAAUCUUUUGCCAGUCGUAAAACCGCUGGUGAAUAAGGGGUGGGCAAGUUCUGGUGUCAGCCGCCGCGGUAAAACCAGCACCUCAAGUGGUCAGGAUGAUUAUUGGGCCUAAAGCAUCCGUAGCCGGCUUUGUAAGUUUUCGGUUAAAUCCAUGUGCUCAACGCAUGGGCUGCCGAAAAUACUGUAUAGCUAGGGAGUGGGAGAGGUAGACGGUACUCAGUAGGUAGGGGUAAAAUCCUUUGAUCUAUUGAUGACCACCUGUGGCGAAGGCGGUCUACCAGAACACGUUCGACGGUGAGGGAUGAAAGCUGGGGGAGCAAACCGGAUUAGAUACCCCGGGCAGCCCCAGCUGUAAACGAUGC